AAUGAGCAACUCAAUAACCCAUAUUAAUACAAACUUGAUACUAAUUAACGGAGCCUAGCCAGCCUGAGAAUGAGCUGGCCUUACUGCCUUAUAAUAAUAAUAAUAAUUUAAGUAAAUAUAUAGAAGGGAAUACAAUCAUUAGUGGAAAAGAAUGUGACCUCGAACUGAAGUCAUUAAAGAGUUCUAAUCGUCCGUUCUAUAUGUUCCUUUGUAUUUAGCCUAAAGCGAAGCAGCCAACAAGAAAACAAUUGGCAAAAAUCUUUCUCUUCAUUAUCCGGAGCUAGCUAGCUAGACGACAGGCCAGGCUUCCCCGCCUUAAAUGAUAAACGGUAAACACUGUUUCAGUCGCUUAGAGAGGUCGUGUGCUCCGACCACUUGCUUUACCACAAAGAAGUGCAUUCUUUGGAAUGGGAUAUUCAUCUCUAA
rnacentral:misc_RNA from 1 species